CCUACGGGGGGCAGCAGUGAGGAAUAUUGGUCAAUGGACGAGAGUCUGAACCAGCCAAGUAGCGUGAAGGAUGACUGCCCUAUGGGUUGUAAACUGCUUUUAUAUGGGAAUAAAUUGCGGUACGUGUGCAAUUUUGUACGUACCACAUGAAUAAGGCUCGGCUAAUUCCGUGCCAGCAGCCGCGGUAAUACGGAGGUUCCGAGCGUUAUCCGGAUUUAUUGGGUUUAAGGGGAGCGUAGACGGACGCUUAAGUCAGUUGUGAAAGUGUGCGGCUCAACCGUAGAAUUGCAGUUGAUACUGGGAGGCUGGAGUGCAGCAGAGGUAGGCGGAAUUCGUGGUGUAGCGGUGAAAUGCUUAGAUAUCACGAAGAACUCCGAUUGCGAAGGCAGCUUACUGGACGGUGACUGACGUUGAGGCUCGAAAGUGUGGGUAGCAAACAGGAUUAGAUACCCCAGUAGUC
rnacentral:rRNA from 1 species